rnacentral:rRNA from 1 species
UGUCGAACGAUGAAGCCAGCUUGACGGGGGAUUAGUGGCGAACGGGUGAGUAACACGUGAGUAACCUGCCCUUAACUCUGGGAUAAGCCUGGGAAACUGGGUCUAAUACCGGAUAUGACUCCUCAUCGCAUGGUGGGGGGUGGAAAGCUUUUGUGGUUUUGGAUGGACUCGCGGCCUAUCAGCUUGUUGGUGAGGUAAUGGCUCACCAAGGCGACGACGGGUAGCCGGCCUGAGAGGGUGACCGGCCACACUGGGACUGAGACACGGCCCAGACUCCUACGGGAGGCAGCAGUGGGGAAUAUUGCACAAUGGGCGGAAGCCUGAUGCAGCGACGCCGCGUGAGGGAUGACGGCCUUCGGGUUGUAAACCUCUUUCAGUAGGGAAGAAGCGAAAGUGACGGUACCUGCAGAAGAAGCGCC